ensembl:lncRNA
GGAAGGAUUGCAUGAGAUGGAGAGUGUGCAAAGUGUGCUCCUGCACACCAUGGAACAGGUCCUUUAGGUUGGACUCAGCUCCACCAAGGGACAAAGGAGGAAGCAGAAGCAUACAUCACUACUUUCCCUGGGAGAUAAAAGAUGUGGUAAUUUUUCUGAAAUAAUUAGGACUAGCCACCAGCACAGCACCAAGGGUGUGAUCAUUACCCCAUGCCGCCCUCCAUUCCACAUGGAGAAAAUCUCAUUUUCCCAAGGAAAUGAUUUCUUCAGUUUGAAUUAUGCCAGGCACAAUAAAUAUUACAGUCACUUCUCAAGAGAAAAAAACAACAAAAAUGCAGUCUGUACAUCCUACUCAUCGAGAAUGGUGUACCAGUCUGAAUCAAUCCCUCUUUAUGGUUGGAGGCACCAGUGGCAAGGCCCCAUGUUUUCCUUGAAGGCGAUGGAGGAGCCAGCGGGGCUGGUGCUGCAGUGGCUUGCUGCAUGCCAUUCUGCAGCUUAGGAGGGCUCUGGAUUCAGAAGGGUAUCAGGAGGGUAGAGAAGGGCUGUAGUCCUGAUUUUGUUCUGGGAAAAGCAUCUAGUUCACUGACAGAAGAUUAAGGCACAGUGUUUCCUUCCAUCUGCUGCUGAUUAAUGCAAUUCAAGGUCAUGAGAACUUUUAGUUAAGAAUUUCUUGAUUUUUUUUUUUUAACAUCUGUGUCACUUAAUUGGGUUAAUGUAACUCUAAAAUUUAAUUGGAUUAACGUAAGUACAUAAAUCAUGAAGUACUCGCUUCACAAAGGUUAACAGCAGUACAUUGGUUCUCACAGAUAAAACAGAUUUCACAAGUUCAGUUCUGAUUUCAUUUGUACUCUUUAAAAUUACCUCCUGUACAAAUUACUAUUAUUCCCUUAUGAUGAACCCAACUACAUGCAUUGAAGAGGCAAGUGAUGGAUUGAGCCAAUCAGCAUCUUCCACAUCAAUUCCAGUACUCAAAGAAUUGUUGGAUUUUUACGUAGGGUUCCUGAAAGUAAUGCUUCCUUGUUUCCACAGGUACCAUAACAGCACAAAAACACUAUAGGAUAGAGCAAAUUCUCAGAUACAAAACACCGUUUUUCAGUGUAGUCACUACCAUUAGUUGUGCAUUUUCACCAGCAAUGAACAAGAGCCUGCAUGCUGCACUCAAAAAUCUGCACCAGUGGAGGCGACCCACUGUCACUGUUGCCACUGCUGAAGUGCACACCACUCACUGCCUCACUCUGCUUAUAUCCACUAUUUGGUCUCCAGAAUUGUUCAGCAAGCAUCAGCAAAUGUCAGUGUGUUCCUUCCACCCCGACCCCCCCCCCGGCCUCCCCCAUCCUUGCAUAGAGGAAUUCCAUUCCACAGUUUUGAAUCACAUGCACUUCCAUGUCAGACAUCAUUUUGUCAGACUGCCCCCCUCCGCUGCCAUCUGUCACACAGCAACAACAUGUAAUGGAAUAUUGGUGGGAAGGUUCAACCUCUACUGCCAUACCACCAGAAUCUGCCUGUGACAUCAUGGGCCAACAUAAUAAAAUAGGGGACAUUACUUUUGGUGUGGCCCUCAUAAUUACCAAUUGGCCUCUCUAAUUUCUAGCUGCUACCUCUUGCUUUGCCUUUCUCCAAUGUAAGGCAUGUUAGAGAGUCUGAGCAUUUAUACAUGGGUUAGUGAACCCCUGGUUUCAAAAGGUACCCUCACAGAAGUGCAGUGCUGGACAUAGAGGAUGCUUGCAUACACAAGAUUUCUGAUUUCUCUCAUUUUAAGGUUGGGACUUGAGGUUCUUAGGCUCCAAUAUAUUUCCACUUGUUACACUGCAAAAUUUCUCUUAAUUCAGAGAACAAUUUUUAUGAUUGCUCUGUUUUUGGCCAGCCUGUAAAAGACCAUAAUAUAUUGUUUUUCCCUAACGACUACUGGGAUUUUCUAAUAAAUCUAACGGCUAAAUU